rnacentral:tRNA from 1 species
GGCCUGAUGGUCUAGUAGUAUGAUUCCUUGUUAGGGUUGCCUUUUCGAGGAGGUCCCGGGUUCAAUUCCCGGUCAGGCCC